rnacentral:siRNA from 1 species
AUAUUAAAUUUAAUAAGGUUACCA